rnacentral:tRNA from 1 species
GGCCAGCUGUGGCUGCGGUUCGCGGUGGCCACGCUGUCGUUGCUGCUGGGCGGAGUGGGCUUCUGGUGGGCGCUGGUGGAUCGCCAGCGGCUGACCU